rnacentral:rRNA from 1 species
UACGUAGGGACCGAGCGUUGUCCGGAAUCAUUGAGCGUAAAGAGCGUGUAGGCGGCCUUUUAAGUCCUGCGUGAAAUCCUGCGGCUCAACCGCAGACGGUCGUGGGAAACUGGAAGGCUAGAGUGCGGGAGAGGAGAGUGGAAUUCCCGGUGUAGUGGUGAAAUGCGUAGAUAUUGGGAGGAACACCAGUGGCGAAGGCGGCUCACUGGACCGGUACUGACGCUGAUGCGCGAAAGCGUGGGGAGCAAACGGGG